AUUGAACGCUGGCGGCAUGCCUUACACAUGCAAGUCUACCGGUAACAGGUCUUCGGAUGCUGACGAGUGGCGAACGGGUGAGUAAUACAUCGGAACGUGCCCGAUCGUGGGGGAUAACGAAGCGAAAGCUUUGCUAAUACCGCAUAAGGUCCAAGGAUGACAGCAGGGGACCGCAAGUCCUCGCGCGAACGGAGCGGCCGAUGGCAGAUUGGGUACUGGGUGGGAUAAAAGCUUACCAAGCCGACGAUCUGUAGCUGGUCUGAGAGGACGACCAGCCACACUGGGACUGAGACACGGCCCAGACUCCUACGGGAGGCAGCAGUGGGGAAUUUUGGACAAUGGGCGAAAGCCUGAUCCAGCCAUGCCGCGUGCAGGAUGAAGGCCUUCGGGUUGUAAACUGCUUUUGUACGGAACGAAAAGACUCUGGUUAAUACCUGGGGUCCAUGACGGUACCGUAAGAAUAAGCACCGGCUAACUACGUGCCAGCAGCCGCCGUAA
rnacentral:rRNA from 1 species